AUUAGGAACUCUGGAGAGUCUCCAAAAAAGGGGCGCCGAAGGUGUACGCAAACUAAGUUUGCAAAUCUCUCAGGCAAAAGGACAGAGCAGUAAGG
rfam:Clostridium hiranonis DSM 13275 Scfld14 genomic scaffold, whole genome shotgun sequence.